UACGUAGGGGGCAAGCGUUGUCCGGAUUUAUUGGGCGUAAAGAGCGUGUAGGCGGCUGGGUAGGUCCGUUGUGAAAACUCGAGGCUCAACCUCGAGACGCCGAUGGAAACCCCCCAGCUAGAGUCCGGAAGAGGAGAGUGGAAUUCCUGGUGUAGCGGUGAAAUGCGCAGAUAUCGGGAGGAACACCGGUAGCGAAGGCGGCAUCCUGGACCGGCAUUGACGCUGAGGCGCGAAAGCCAGGGGAGCAAACGGG
rnacentral:rRNA from 1 species